CAGCAGCCACGGGAAUACGGAGGGUGCGAGCGUUAAUCGGAAUUACUGGGCGUAAAGCGUACGCAGGCGGUCUGUUAAGUCAGAUGUGAAAUCCCCGGGCUUAACCCGGGAACUGCAUUUGAAACUGGCAGGCUAGAGUCUCGUAGAGGGGGGUAGAAUUCCAGGUGUAGCGGUGAAAUGCGUAGAGAUCUGGAGGAAUACCGGUGGCGAAGGCGGCCCCCUGGACGAAGACUGACGCUCAGGUACGAAAGCGUGGGGAGCAAACAGGAUUAGAUACCCGCGUAGUCCCUGUCUCUUAUAC
rnacentral:rRNA from 1 species